CCAAUAGCGUAUAUUAAAGUUGUUGCAGUUAAAAAGCUCGUAGUUGAAUUUCGGGAUUGACGUGAUGGUCAUGCCUUAAGGGGUAUGAACUGUUGCAGUUGAUUUCUCACCUUCUGGAAAAACUUGAUGUCCUUAAUUGGGUGUCGCGGGGAACCAGGACCUUUACUUUGAAAAAAUUAGAGUGUUUAAAGCAGGCAUUUUGCUUGAAUACAUUAGCAUGGAAUAAUAAAAUAGGACGGCAUGAUUCUAUUUUGUUGGUUUCUAGGAUCACCGUAAUGAUUAAUAGGGAUAUGUGGGGGCAUUAGUAUUCAAUUGUCAGAGGUGAAAUUCUUGGAUUUAUUGAAGACUAACUACUGCGAAAGCAUUUGCCAAGGAUGUUUUCAUUAAUCAAGAACGAAAGUUAGGGGAUCGAAGACGAUCAGAUACCGUCGUAGUCUUAACCAUAAACUAUGCCGACUAGGAAUCAGACGAUGUUAAUUUUUUAAUGACUCGUUUGGCACCUUACG
rnacentral:rRNA from 1 species